rnacentral:rRNA from 1 species
AUGUCGGAGGCCAUCGCCAUCACCGCCGCCUCGUCGCCGUCGACUCGCCGUCAGUGUGUUGCAGAGGUGGAGCUGCAAGAGGAACGGUUGCUAUAUCCGUGUCUGUGCCAUGUCCAACAGAUCCCGAGGCUGGGCAGACCUUCCGAGUGGCCUGUUGGACUCUUAUCAUUUCUCGGUUGGGAUCCUUCCACGAUCUGCUUGCUUUUCAAGCCACUUGCCGCCCUUGGCAUGCCGUGUUUUCUUCAUGUCCGUUCAAAUACAACGUGGCAGCGCUCUUCCCACCUCUACUUCUCCAACAUGAUGGCUCCGGGUCCCUCAAAAAAAAAACAUGAUGGCUCCGGGUGCUCUCCUCAUCCACACUCUGUUAGAAAUUUCACGGUGACCACACGCCCAUGUCGUGUCAUGGAUAUAGCCAACAAAGACACCACCUACCAGGGCUUUCAGAUUCCCAUAGUUUGGAAUUCUCAUGGAGAGAACGCCUCGUCAAGUCCUAUGGAGAAUUUUUACUUCAGUGGGGCUUCAUAUGGUCAUCUUAUUUUUUCCAGCAAUAAAUCAUGUGCAGUUUUUGAUGUGUUCACAGGCGUUACUGUCUCAUCUCCACAACUGCCAGUCUUGGAUGAAGGCACUAGGCCCAUCUAUGGUGCUCUCACCGGUCCCUAG